rnacentral:rRNA from 1 species
GACGAACGCUGGCGGCGUGCCUAAUACAUGCAAGUCGAACGCCGUGGGGACGGGUGAGUAACACGUGGGUAACCUCCCAUCAGAGGGGAUAACACUUGGAAACAGGUGCUAAACCUAUACUGAUGGAUGGACCCGCGUUGCAUUAGCUAGUUGGUGAGGUAAAGGCUCACCAAGGCGACGAUACAUAGCGGACCUGAGAGUGUGAGGGGCAACACUGGGACUGAGAAACGGCCCAGACGCCUACGGUAGGCAGCAGUAGGGAAUAUUGCACAAUGGGCGCAAGCCUGAUGCAGCCAUGCCGCGUGUAUGAAGAAGGCCUUCGGGUUGUAAGACUUUCAGCGAGGAGGAACGUUACUCGCAGAAGAAGCACCGGCUAACUCCGUGCCAGCAGCCGCGGUAAUAC